GAUGAACGCUGGCGGCGUGCUUAACACAUGCAAGUCGAACGGUGAAGCAGAGCUUGCUCUGUGGAUCAGUGGCGAACGGGUGAGUAAUACGUGAGCAAUCUGCCCCUGACUCUGGGAUAAGCGCUGGAAACGGUGUCUAAUACUGGAUAAGAGCCAUGGCCGCAUGGUCUGUGGUUGGAAAGAUUUUUCGGUUGGGGAUGAGCUCACGGCCUAUCAGCUUGUUGGUGAGGUAAUGGCUCACCAAGGCGUCGACGGGUAGCCGGCCUGAGAGGGUGACCGGCCACACUGGGACUGAGACACGGCCCAGACUCCUACGGGAGGCAGCAGUGGGGAAUAUUGCACAAUGGGCGGAAGCCUGAUGCAGCAACGCCGCGUGAGGGAUGACGGCCUUCGGGUUGUAAACCUCUUUUAGCAGGGAAGAAGCUUUUGUGACGGUACCUGCAGAAAAAGCGCCGGCUAACUACGUGCCAGCAGCCGCGGUAAUACGUAGGGCGCAAGCGUUAUCCGGAAUUAUUGGGCGUAAAGAGCUCGUAGGCGGUUUGUCGCGUCUGCUGUGAAAUCCCGAGGCUCAACCUCGGGCCUGCAGUGGGUACGGGCAGACUAGAGUGCGGUAGGGGAGAUUGGAAUUCCUGGUGUAGCGGUGGAAUGCGCAGAUAUCAGGAGGAACACCGAUGGCGAAGGCAGAUCUCUGGGCCGUAACUGACGCUGAGGAGCGAAAGGGUGGGGAGCAAACAGGCUUAGAUACCCUGGUAGUCCACCCCGUAAACGUUGGGAACUAGUUGUGGGGUCCAUUCCACGGAUUCCGUGACGCAGCUAACGCAUUAAGUUCCCCGCCUGGGGAGUACGGCCGCAAGGCUAAAACUCAAAGGAAUUGACGGGGACCCGCACAAGCGGCGGAGCAUGCGGAUUAAUUCGAUGCAACGCGAAGAACCUUACCAAGGCUUGACAUACACCAGAACACCCUGGAACCAGGGGACUCUUUGGACACUGGUGAACAGGUGGUGCAUGGUUGUCGUCAGCUCGUGUCGUGAGAUGUUGGGUUAAGUCCCGCAACGAGCGCAACCCUCGUUCUAUGUUGCCAGCACGUAAUGGUGGGAACUCAUGGGAUACUGCCGGGGUCAACUCGGAGGAAGGUGGGGAUGACGUCAAAUCAUCAUGCCCCUUAUGUCUUGGGCUUCACGCAUGCUACAAUGGCCGGUACAAAGGGCUGCGAUACCGUAAGGUGGAGCGAAUCCCAAAAAGCCGGUCCCAGUUCGGAUUGAGGUCUGCAACUCGACCUCAUGAAGUCGGAGUCGCUAGUAAUCGCAGAUCAGCAACGCUGCGGUGAAUACGUUCCCGGGUCUUGUACUCACCGCC
rnacentral:rRNA from 1 species